UACGUAGGGGGCAAGCGUUGUCCGGAUUUAUUGGGCGUAAAGAGCGUGUAGGCGGCCAUACAGGUCAGCUGUGAAAACUCGAGGCUCAACCUCGAGACGUCGGUUGAAACCGUAUGGCUAGAGUCCGGAAGAGGAGAGUGGAAUUCCCGGUGUAGCGGUGAAAUGCGCAGAUAUCAGGAGGAACACCGGUGGCGAAGGCGGGUCUCUGGGCCUUACCUGACGCUGAGGAGCGAAAGCGUGGGGAGCGAACAGG
rnacentral:rRNA from 1 species